AAACCAGCACCUCAAGUGGUCAGGAUGAUUAUUGGGCCUAAAGCAUCCGUAGCCUGCUCAGUAAGUUUUCGGUUAAAUCUGUACGCUUAACGUACAGGCUGCCGGGAAUACUGCAGAGCUAGGGAGUGGGUGAGGUAGACGGUACUCGGGAGGAAGUGGUAAAAUGCUUUGAUCUCUCGAUGACCACCUGUGGCGAAGGCGGUCUACCAGAACACGUCCGACGGUGAGGGAUGAAAGCUGGGGGAGCAAACCGGAUUAGAAACCCGUGUAGUCC
rnacentral:rRNA from 1 species